UAAUACGUGAUAGUGAGAGUG
rnacentral:miRNA from 1 species